UUUUUUUUUUUUUUUUUUUUUACAGUCUAUUUUUGUACGCUUUGCUAUAAAACCAUGGUGCUGGGGAAGGUGAAGAGUCUGACGAUAAGCUUUGACUGUCUGAAUGACAGCAAUGUCCCCGUGUACUCUAGCGGGGAUACGGUCUCAGGAAGGGUCAGUCUAGAAGUAACUGGGGAAAUUAGAGUGAAAUCCCUUAAAAUCCAUGCGAGGGGGCACGCUAAAGUGCGUUGGACUGAAUCGAGGAAUGCUGGAUCCAACACUGCCUAUACACAGAACUACACCGAAGAAGUGGAAUAUUUCAACCAUAAAGACAUCCUGAUCGGCCAAGAGAGAGAUGAUGACAAUUCAGAAGAAGGCCUUCACACCAUCCAUUCAGGAAGGCAUGAAUAUGCAUUCAGCUUCGAGCUUCCACAAACACCACUUGCUACCUCAUUCGAAGGCAGACAUGGCAGUGUGCGCUAUUGGGUGAAAGCCGAAUUGCAUAGGCCUUGGUUUCUACCAGUAAAAUUAAAGAAGGAAUUUACAGUCUUUGAACAUAUAGAUAUCAACACUCCUUCAUUACUGUCACCCCAAGCAGGCACAAAAGAAAAAACUCUCUGUUGUUGGUUUUGUACCUCAGGCCCAAUAUCCUUAAGUGCCAAAAUUGAAAGGAAGGGCUACACCCCAGGUGAAUCAAUUCAGAUCUUUGCUGAGAUUGAGAACUGCUCUUCCCGUGUAGUGGUGCCAAAGGCAGCCAUUUACCAAACACAGGCAUUUUAUGCCAAAGGGAAAAUGAAAGAAGUCAAACAGCUUGUUGCCAACCUGCGUGGGGAUUCCUUGUCAUCUGGGAAAACAGAAACCUGGAAUGGCAAACAGUUGAAGAUUCCACCUGUUUCUCCUUCAAUCCUUGACUGUAGUAUAAUCCGUGUGGAGUAUUCACUGAUGGUAUAUGUGGAUAUUCCUGGCGCCAUGGAUUUAUUCCUUAACUUACCACUGGUCAUUGGCACCAUUCCUCUACACCCGUUUGGUAGCAGAACAUCAAGUGUAAGCAGCCAGUGUAGCAUGAAUAUGAAUUGGCUUGGUCUGACUCUGCCCGAAAGACCAGAAGCACCUCCCAGCUAUGCAGAAGUGGUGACAGAGGAACAGCGACAGUCCAGCCUUGCACCCUUAGGUGCUUGUGAUGACUUUGAGAGAGCACUUCCAGGACCACUGUUUGCAUACAUCCAGGAGUUUCGUUUUCUGCCUCCACCCCUCUAUUCAGAAAUUGAUCCAAACCCAGAUCAACCCACAGACGACAGACCAUCUUGCCCUUCUCGUUGAAGGAAUCCAUAAGAAGCUGACUUAACUUGGGUUUGGAAUCAUACCUCCCGUGUUGAAGGUCAAGGCAUCAUAGUGGAGAACACACUUUCAAAGAAACCUGGACUUUACCUGCAUAUGCACAUGCUCAGAAUUGUCCUAGUAGGCUGAUCAUGUAUCACCUCUUCAGCUUGGAUCCUAUUGUGGAUUUAUUUACAAACAUCAAAUGCCUUCAAGCCAAUCCUUCUUGCUGUAUGUUUUGCAGCCUACUGUAGUAGAUAAGCAACAGAUAUGGGGAUAGGGUGGGAGGGUGAAGAAUUAAUAGAAAGAAACUAAUAGACUUCAUCAAGAUUGUAUACUUUCUUGAUUUCUUUUAAGAAUUUGUUGCCUUUCUACUAUUAUCGCAAAGCAGCAUUUUGUUACAGACUGCCUAAAAAUCACUUAAUCUCAGGUGAAUUCAUCACUUGCCAAACUGUUGGAAUGCUAUCUGGUUUUUUACUUUGCACUGUUGAGUUAGUUCUUUUUUUGUUUUGUGUUUGUGUUUUGUUUUUGUUCUUUACUUGAGAGGGAGAUCUGGAAUAGGGACAUACACAAAAGUUACAAAACCCACCUCAUUCCCAUUUCUCUUUCUACAUUAUAAAUAAAGUGUUCAAGUUGUGAAGCUCUAAAAAAAAAGGCAUAAAUGAAAGCAGCACCAGCAGACACCAUAUGUUCCUCCAAACAUUUUUAAAAGGAAGUGGUCAUACACUGUCUAUGAUUCGCAGAUCAAUAUCUCAAGUAGUAGGGAUAGGAAGGGAGAGUAAAUUUAUUUUUAUAUAUAGCUACUUAAUCACCAAAAAUUCUAUAUGUGAUGAGUGUAGUAGAAAGUAUAUUUCAAACUGCAGGAAAAGCUUCUUCUAUGCUAAGAGCUCAAUUUGUGCACUUUGUAUUGCCUUCAGGGUUUAUGAUACUGUAUAAGAUUAGAAGUAUAAUUAAAGUAGGAAAGAUCAGUGUUACCAGCCAUACUUAAAUAUGAGUUAGCUGGAACUGCUUUGAUGACUGCAUCUUUUGAGGCACUCUCAAGAGCUUUAAAACAAACAGAACACUGAAUUAUACCAUGAAUCUAUAUGGAAUGCAAGAAACUGUGUGGAAAGAGCACUUGCCCUUGAGUGUGCCCCAGGAAAAAGAGUGCAAUGGAGCUAUUACCUGUGCUAACAAAUACCAGUGCUGCUUGCAUGCUAGGUAUGUGUAAGGAAAGUCAACUUUGCUCUUUAGAAACUAUGGAACACAGAUCACUGACAAAGGGACACGUUCUGGUCUUGAUUAGAACAAAUCAAGACCUAAUCAAAUACCUGUCUCCUUGUGCAAUAAAAAAGCUCGGAAGAGAGUGGGAGAGGGGCGGCUGGUGUUUCUGCAUGGUGCUCAUUUUUAAAAACCUCUGCCUUGUUUUUAAGGCUUCAUAAAUGCGACAAAAUAGGCUUUUCCAUAAGUGGCCUUUAUGAGAACAUGAAAGAUCAUUCAUGUUUCAAAAAUGACAACAGGGUGAUAAAAUACAAAUGAGUCGCGUUUUAAGUGAUUCAGUUAAAAGGCUUGGGCUUUGAGCGGGAAUACUGGCAAGAAGGAAAUUGGAUGAUGUUACUAGGCCAAUUUUGUGGAUGUCCCUUCCCUCUGCCUUCUCCAACCAGACAAUUUUUAAAGCUGAUGGGAUCGUUGGUAUAAAAGGGCAUUUGGUGGUUUUACUUUUUUUUUCCUUUUUUGUUAUUUUUACAGACUAGGGAACAAUUGCUGAUAUCCAUAGCAUUAAAGUACCACAAUACAAUGGAAAAUUGCGUAUGAGCAGGAUUGACCAAUAUCAUAGUAAUUGACUUGGCAUCACAACCUUUGUGAUUAGAGUGAAAAAAUUAUAUAAACUUGUCAAAUAAAGACUUCCAGUUUUAAUUACAUUGUUACUCAGAGGCAUUACUCUUCCAUAAAUAUUGGUCAAUUCUCAGCAUUAUAAAACUUGAGGUUCACAGUUUUAGCCCAAUAUUUGAUAGAGAAUUCUGAUCUGAAUUAGGAAAAAGUAAGUAAAAUCCAAACAUUAGAGAAACAAAGUGCAAUAUUAAAUGUUUGCUUUAUAGAUUAUAUUCUAUGGCUGUUUGUACUUUUUUUUUUGGUUUUUUUUUAGUUUUGGUGCUGAAUAUGUCCUUGUAGACUCUUGUUUUGAGAAAACAAUAUGUGGAAAACAGUUUAAUUUUUCCUAUUGCUCUUCCU